rnacentral:rRNA from 1 species
GAACGGGUGAGUAACACGUGAGUAAUCUGCCUCUGGCUUCGGGAUAGCCACCGGAAACGGUGAUUAAUACCGGAUACGACACGCUCUUGCAUGAGAUGUGUGUGGAAAGUUUUUUCGGCCAGGGAUGUGCUCGCGGCCUAUCAGCUUGUUGGUGGGGUAAUGGCCUACCAAGGCUUCGACGGGUAGCCGGCCUGAGAGGGUGACCGGCCACACUGGGACUGAGACACGGCCCAGACUCCUACGGGAGGCAGCAGUGGGGAAUAUUGGACAAUGGGCGGAAGCCUGAUCCAGCAACGCCGCGUGAGGGAUGACGGCCUUCGGGUUGUAAACCUCUUUCAGCACAGACGAAGCGCAAGUGACGGUAUGUGCAGAAGAAGGACCGGCCAACUACGUGCCAGCAGCCGCGGUAAUACGUAGGGUCCGAGCGUUGUCCGGAAUUAUUGGGCGUAAAGGGCUCGUAGGCGGUUUGUCGCGUCGGGAGUGAAAACACCGGGCUUAACUCGGUGCUUGCUUUCGAUACGGGCAGACUAGAGGCAUUCAGGGGAGAACGGAAUUCCUGGUGUAGCGGUGAAAUGCGCAGAUAUCAGGAGGAACACCGGUGGCGAAGGCGGUUCUCUGGGAAUGUCCUGACGCUGAGGAGCGAAAGUGUG